UACGGGGGGGGCAAGCGUUGUUCGGAAUUACUGGGCGUAAAGGGCUCGUAGGUGGCCAACUAAGUCAGACGUGAAAUCCCUCAGCUUAACUGGGGAACUGCGUCUGAUACUGGAUGGCUUGAGUUUGGGAGAGGGAUGCGGAAUUCCAGGUGUAGCGGUGAAAUGCGUAGAUAUCUGGAGGAACACCGGUGGCGAAGGCGGCAUCCUGGACCAACACUGACGCUGAGUGAGCGAAAGCCAGGGGAGCAAACGGG
rnacentral:rRNA from 1 species